CCUACGGGAGGCAGCAGUGAGGAAUAUUGGUCAAUGGACGAGAGUCUGAACCAGCCAAGUAGCGUGAAGGAUGACUGCCCUAUGGGUUGUAAACUUCUUUUAUAUGGGACUAAAAUGUUCCACGUGUGGGAUUUUGUAUGUACCAUAUGAAUAAGGAUCGGCUAACUCCGUGCCAGCAGCCGCGGUAAUACGGAGGAUCCGAGCGUUAUCCGGAUUUAUUGGGUUUAAAGGGAUCGUAGGUGGCUUGUUAAGUCAGUUGUGAAAGUUUGCGGCUCAACCGUAAAAUUGCAGUUGAAACUGGCAGUCUUGAGUACAGUAGAGGUGGGCAGAAUUCGUGGUGUAGCGGUGAAAUGCUUAGAUAUCACGAAGAACUCCGAUGGCGAAGGCAGUUCACUGGACUGCAACUGACACUGAGGCUCGAAAGUGUGGGUAUCAAACAGGAUUAGAUACCCUUGUAGUC
rnacentral:rRNA from 1 species